UACGGAGGGUGCAAACGUUGCUCGGAAUCAUUGGGCGUAAAGCGCACGUAGGCGGUUCGAUAAGUCGGAUGUGAAAGCCCUCGGCUCAGCCAAGGAAGUGCAUUCGAAACUGUCGGACUUGAGUACGGGAGGGGGUUGCGGAAUUCCCGGUGUAGAGGUGAAAUUCGUAGAUAUCGGGAGGAACACCAGUGGCGAAGGCGGCAACCUGGACCGAUACUGACGCUGAGGUGCGAAAGCGUGGGGAGCAAACAGG
rnacentral:rRNA from 1 species